UUGGGAAUCUUGCACAAUGGGGGAAACCCUGAUGCAGCGACGCCGCGUGGAGGACGAAGGGUCUAGGCUCGUAAACUCCUUUUUUUGGGAAAGACUUAGGACGGUACCCAAAGAAUAAGCACCGGCUAACUACGUGCCAGCAGCCGCGGUAAGACGUAGGGUGCAAGCGUUGUCCGGAUUUACUGGGCGUAAAGAGCGCGUAGGCGGUCCAUUAAGUGUGAAGCUAAAUCUCUUGGCUUAACCAAGAAACUAUUUCGCAUACUGAUGGGCUGGAGUGAUGCAGAGGUGGAUAGAAUUCCCGGUGUAGCGGUGAAAUGCGUUGAUAUCGGGAGGAAUACCCGUGGCGAAGGCGGUCCACUGGGCAUCAACUGACGCUGAGGCGCGAAAGCGUGGGUAGCAAACAG
rnacentral:rRNA from 1 species